GCUAUAAAUGCAUGGACUCCUUGAAUCGUUUUUUAGAGGUAGAUGAGAAUGAAUGUUUGCUAGAGGGUUUCAUUUGCCAUCGUCAGACAGAAAAAGGGGAAAUAGAAAUAGGAGGACAGUUAUGUAAUUUUACAUAUAAGCAUCCCACUGUCCUCUGUGCACUCUUAUUUUCUCUCUAAUUUGGAAAGACAAUACACAAAGGAAAAU
rnacentral:misc_RNA from 1 species